CUGCAGAGCUGAACCUAUGAACACUUUUGUUGGCAAAUGCAAAAGAGAAAAUAAUUCUGUAAUCCUCUGCUGUGAGAACGGCCGAUUCGGAUCCGCGGUAUCUCCGUGUGGCGGAAAGCAAUGAGUUUCUGCACGUGGGCUGCGCUGCGCUGCGCCCCGCGUGUGCAGCACUGAGCAGCUGCGAUGGGAUGGUGCUGCAGUGCUGUGGGGCUGUGCUAUGGGGCUGUGCUAUGGGGCUGUGCUAUGGGGUCAUACUAUGGGGCUGUGCUAUAGGGCUGUGCUAUAGGGCUGUGCUAUGGGGCUAUGGGGUUGUGCCAUGGGGCUCUGCUAUAGGGCUAUGGGGCUGUGCCGUGGGGCUGUGCUAUAGGACUGUGCUAUGGAGCUAUGGGGCUGUGCCAUGGUACUGUGCUAUAAAGCCGUGCUAUGGGGCUAUGGGGCUGUGCCAUGGGGCUGUGCUAUGGGGCUAUGGGGCUGUGCCAUGGGGCUGUGCUAUGGGGCUAUGGGGCUGCGCCAUGGGGCUGUGCUAUGGGGCUAUGGGGCUGUGCCAUGGGGCUGUGCUAUACGGCUGUGCUAUAGGGCUAUGGGGCUGUGCCAUGGGGCUGUGCUAUAGGGCUCUGCUACGGGGAUAUGGGGCUAUGGGGCUGUGCCGUGGGGCUGUGCUAUAGGACUGUGCUAUGGAGCUAUGGGGCUGUGCCAUGGGGCUGUGCUAUAGGGCCGUGCUAUGGGGCUAUGGGGCUGCGCCAUGGGGCAGUGCUGUAGUGCUGUGCUAUGGAGCUAUGGGGCUGUGCUAUGGAGCUAUGGAGCUAUGGGGCUGUGCUGUAGUGCUGUGCUAUGGGGCUAUGGGGCUGUGCCAUGGGGCUGUGCUGUAGGGCUGUGCCAUAGGACUGUGCCAUUGGGCUGUGCUAUGGGGCAGUGACGUAGGGCUGUGCUAUGGGGCUAUAGGGCUGUGCUAUAGGGCUGUGCUAUGGGGCUAUGGGGCUGUGCCAUGGGGCUAUGGGGCUGUGCCAUGGAGCUGUGCUAUGGGGCAGUGCUAUGGGGCUGUGCUAUAGGACUGUGCUAUGGGGCUGUGCCGUGGGGCUGUGCCAUGGGGCAGUGCUAUGGGGCUGUGCUAUGGGGCUGUGCUAUGGGGCAGUGCUGUGGGGCAGUGCUGUGGGGCAGUGCUAUGGGGCUGUGCUAUGGGGCUGUGCUAUAGGGUUGUGCUAUGGAGCUAUGGGGCAGUGCUGUGGGGCUGUGCCAUGGGGCAGUGCCGUGGGGCUGUGCUAUGGGGCUGUGCUAUGGGGCUGUGCUAUGGGGCUGCCCGGGGCAGUCCUUUCCGCGCACUGCUGUGCCGGAUUGAAGUCC
ensembl:lncRNA